GUGGGGAAUAUUGGACAAUGGGCGAAAGCCUGAUCCAGCAAUGCCGCGUGAGUGAUGAAGGCCCUAGGGUUGUAAAGCUCUUUUACCCGGGAUGAUAAUGACAGUACCGGGAGAAUAAGCUCCGGCUAACUUCGUGCCAGCAGCCGCGGUAAUACGAGGGGAGCUAGCGUUGUUCGGAAUUACUGGGCGUAAAGCGCGCGUAGGCGGUUUUUUAAGUCAGAGGUGAAAGCCCGGGGCUCAACCCCGGAAUUGCCUUUGAAACUGGAAAACUAGAAGCUUGGGGAAGUCAAUGGAAUUCCGAGUGUAGAAGUGAAAAACGUAGAUAUGCGGAAGAACACCAGUGGCGGAGGCGACUGACUGGACAAGUAUUGACGCUGAGGUGCGAAAGCGACGGGAGCAAACAGGAUUAGAUACCCUAGUAGUCC
rnacentral:rRNA from 1 species